rnacentral:lncRNA from 1 species
GGCGACACCAAGCUCAGGCCAUUACGACUGUAGGAGCCAGCCAUUUGAGCAUGAACAUUUAGGGUUGGAGAGACGCCAGAAAACUAGCACCCAUGCC